ensembl:lncRNA
UUUUAGUUUGUCAUCUAUAUCUGGGCUUUUUAUGCUCAGGAAAAACGUGGAACUCACUAUGAAAUGCAGAAUCUCUGCAAAUCAGUCCCGAGAGCCCCCACGAUCCUUCACUGAAGUCAAGGAAUCGAACACUCAGCUCGUAGAGCGGAUUGCUCAUUCCUCGCAGCUGAUAUCACAUGGGGGCCUACACUGGUCUGGAGUAAAGAGAAAUAAAUCGGAAACUUGCGAUAACUCUAGAACCAUGGUCCUUAAAGUACGGCUCCCCAACCAGCACCAUCAGUUUCACCUGGGAACUUGUUAGAAAUGCAGUUUCUCAGAACCCAGCCCAGACCUGCUCUGUCAGAAGCUCUAGGGGUGCCUCGUAUUCUCCAUUUAGCAAGUUCUCCAGUUGAUUCUGCUGCAGGCUGAACUUUGAGAACCACUGCUCUGGAUAAGAUUGAAGGCAAUUCCCGAAAGCUGAAGAGAGAUCACCAUAGACAUGUGGCAUCAUCUGUAUAUCCUCUAGUAGAAAGCAGGAGCCGCACUCCCCAGGUCUAGAACCGGAAGUGCGCCUCAUUAUGAAAUGACCUGGCCCCCAGCUUCCUGUCUGUGUUUUCUCUGGCAGCCUGAGUGCUCUUAGCAGAACGAGAGGAGGGAGAAGAGCAAACAGUUUAAUAAGAAGCCACAUUUGAAGCUUUGCAAAGAUACGUGCAAGGCCCUAGACCAAGAAUCAGCAGCAUUGGCUGAGGGUUUCACAUCUUCUGAUUAUCUUUUGCUACAAACGUGGUUAUUUAUGUACUCCCAAUUACAAUCUUGUAAUUUUACCUUCCAUAGGGAAUAUCGCACUAAGCCAGUCAUUUAGACCACAAGAAAUUAAAAAAUUAAAUCAAGCUAGGAAAUCCUGGGUACAAAUUUUGUCCAUUGUGGCACUUUAUAGGUGGCCAGCUCAAGUGGUAGAUAUCUUACUCUCUGAAGUUCACCCCUCUCUCAUCCCUAUGGCAGCUCAACUUUCUAUUAGAUUCCAAUUCUUGAGAAAACAAAGCCAGCCUUUCUGCCUCAUUUUUGGGGCACAAUCCUAGAGUGAAGAUAAAAUCAUUUUCCAUAUCACUUCCUAACACCCCAGUGUGGGCAGAGGAGAGUAGGGCUUUAAGGGUAGAAAAGCAAAAGUAGGAUCUUCUUGGCAAGAAGAGAAAAAUACAUAAACCUGUUGGAAAAUAAAACAAAAACUUCUCACCCAUCAAAUGACCACUCCAUCCAGCAACAGAGUUUAAAAUACUUCGAAGAGCCAUACUACGUUGGAAACAGUAAACUCUGGAUUCAAAUAUACUGUUGGUAUUCAGAGUCUCAGAACAAUCCUCAAGUCCCAGCUUUGCUCCACUUAUGCUCAUAUUUUCAGUAAGUUAUGGCUAACAAUCACCUAAUAUGUUUUGACUGUCAAACUUUUAUGCAAUUGGUAAUGAUCCUUCCAGAAUGGUUUCUGUGGCCAAUGAAGCUUUCACCCAUAAACCAUAGGCUCAGAAAGGAAACAGGGAAUGGCCAAGGCAUUUUGUGCCUGCAUUUGUAUUCAUUUGUAUACAGACCCAUAAUUUCUAAUAUUGUAUCCUUUCAUUCUCUAAAUGUCACUCAAACACUACAGUAAUGCAUAUGGUUCUGAAUAACACCAAGGACUUAAAAAUAAAACUCUUGUCCUUGUCAUAUCUUGGAAAAUGAUUAUAUCAACGGUAGCCAGUUAAGAACAAAGACAUGGGGUAGGAAGUCCCAAACCUGGAACUCCCUGUGUCCUACUCUUACUGUUAUGGCAAGAGGCCGAAAUAUUCAUCAAGUGUAGCAUGUUCAUCAGCGGGUGGUUCAGUAAAGCAGUUCUUGUCAGGGAAGCCAAAGACGUGAUAAUGGUCAGCCUAGCCUAAUUAUGGGGAGUCUGGAAGGAAGGAAGGCCAGGAUUCACCAUUGAUCAUUUGGAUCACCAGGCAUUGCUUACAAGCCAGGUUUCAUGAACAGGAAUCCAGCCUCAUGAAGAUGCGGCUUAGCUGGCAGGAUUAUUUGGAGUGAAUGGGGGCAGAAGAGUGGAUUGGAGUGGUAGUUGCAGUAAUAACACCAGCAACAAUG